rnacentral:rRNA from 1 species
UACGGAGGGGGCUAGCGUUGUUCGGAAUUACUGGGCGUAAAGCGCAUGUAGGCGGAUCAGUCAGUCAGGGGUGAAAUCCCGGGGCUCAACCACGGAACUGCCUUUGAUACUGCUGGUCUGGAGGUCGAGAGAGGUGAGUGGAAUUCCGCGUGUAGAGGUGAAAUUCGUAGAUAUUCGGAGGAAUACCAGUGGCGAAGGCGGCUCACUGGCUCGUUACUGACGCUGAGGGGCGAAAGCGUGGGGAGCAAACAGG